rnacentral:tRNA from 1 species
GGAGAGAUGGCCGAGUGGUCUAAGGCGCGCGCCUGGAAAGCGCGUAUCCUACGUGAAGUGGGAUCGAGGGUUCGAAUCCCUCUUUCUCCG